AACCCAUGGUGAGGGCACCUUCUCAAUAAAUCCUUAUACAUCUACCAUGCAUCAUAUAAGCUCUCUAAGUCCAUCUUACGAAGGAAGAGAUAUCAUUCCUCAAUUU
rfam:Gossypium arboreum cultivar AKA8401 contig_19892_1, whole genome shotgun sequence.